rnacentral:rRNA from 1 species
CCUACGGGAGGCAGCAGUGAGGAAUAUUGGUCAAUGGGCGCUAGCCUGAACCAGCCAAGUAGCGUGAAGGAUGACGGCCCUAUGGGUUGUAAACUUCUUUUAUAUGGGAAUAAAGUGCAGUAUGUAUACUGCGUUGCAUGUACCUUAUGAAAAAAGAUCGGCUAACUCCGUGCCAGCAGCCGCGGUAAUACGGAGGAUGCGAGCGUUAUCCGGAUGUAUUGGGUUUAAAGGGGGCGUAGGCGGGUUGUUAAGUCAGUUGUGAAAGUUUGCGGCUCAACCGUAAAAUUGCAGUUGAUACUGGCAUCCUUGAGUACAGUAGAGGUAGGCGGAAUUCGUGGUGUAGCGGUGAAAUGCUUAGAUAUCACGAAGAACUCCGAUUGCGAAGGCAGCUUGCUGGACUGUAACUGACGCUGAUGCUCGAAAGUGUGGGUAUCAAACAGGAUUAGAUACCCCUGUAGUC